rnacentral:tRNA from 1 species
GAUUUAGCUAAUAUAAGUAAUUGUUUUGAAAACAUUUGAUAAGACUAAAUUU